UUGGAGGGCAAGUCUGGUGCCAGCAGCCGCGGUAAUUCCAGCUCCAAUAGCGUAUAUUAAAGUUGUUGCAGUUAAAAAGCUCGUAGUUGAAUUUCGGGAUUAGUACGUUGGUCGUGCCUUCGGUACGUACUGGUGUUACUGAUUCCUACCUUCUGACGAACCAUCAUGUCAUUAAUUUGGUGUGGUGGGGAAUCAGGACUGUUACUUUGAAAAAAUUAGAGUGUUUAAAGCAGGCUCGCGCUUGAAUACAUUAGCAUGGAAUAAUGAAAUAGGACGUUGACCCUAUUUUGUUGGUUUCUAGGAUUGGCGUAAUGAUUAAUAGGGAUAGUUGGGGGCAUUAGUAUUCAAUUGUCAGAGGUGAAAUUCUUGGAUUUAUUGAAGACUAACUACUGCGAAAGCAUUUGCCAAGGAUGUUUUCAUUAAUCAAGAACGAAAGUUAGGGGAUCGAAGACGAUCAGAUACCGUCGUAGUCUUAACCAUAAACUAUGCCGACUAGGGAUCGGAUGAUGUUAUUUUUAAUGACUCAUUCGGCGCCUUACGGGAAAC
rnacentral:rRNA from 1 species